CGGAGGGUGCAAGCGUUAUCCGGAUUCACUGGGUUUAAAGGGUGUGUAGGCGGGCUAUUAAGUCAGUGGUGAAAUCUCCAGGCUCAACCUGGAAACUGCCAUUGAUACUAUUAGUCUUGAAUUCUGUUGAGGUAGGCGGAAUAUAUCAUGUAGCGGUGAAAUGCUUAGAUAUGAUAUAGAACACCGAUUGCGAAGGCAGCUUACUAAGCAGAUAUUGACGCUGAGGCACGAAAGCGUGGGGAUCAAACAGGAUUAGAUACCCUGGUAGUCCACGCCCUAAACGAUGAUUACUCGACAUACGCGAUAUACUGUGUGUGUCUGAGCGAAAGCAUUAAGUAAUCCACCUGGGAAGUACGUCCGCAAGGAUG
rnacentral:rRNA from 1 species